rnacentral:rRNA from 1 species
UCCAUUCUGUAGCAAUACAGAGGAAGACCUAGUGGCGAACGGGUGAGGAACACGUGAGGAACCUGCCCCGAACUUUGGGAUAACAGUUGGAAACGACUGCUAAUACCGAAUGCCGUUACGAAGUGGCAUCACUUUGUAACGAAAGAAUUUCGGUUCGGGAGGGCCUCGCGGCCUAUCAGCUAGUUGGUGGGGUAACGGCCUACCAAGGCAUCGACGGGUAGCUGGUCUGAGAGGAUGAUCAGCCACACUGGGACUGAGACACGGCCCAGACUCCUACGGGAGGCAGCAGUGGGGAAUCUUGUGCAAUGGGCGAAAGCCUGACACAGCCACGCCGCGUGCGGGAAGAAGGCCUUCGGGUUGUAAACCGCUUUCAGCAGGAACGAAAAUGACGGUACCUGCAGAAGAAGAUGCGGCCAACUACGUGCCAGCAGCCGCGGUGAUACGUAGGCAUCAAGCGUUGUCCGGAUUUAUUGGGCGUAAAGAGCUCGUAGGCGGUUCAGCAAGUCGGGUGUGAAAACUCUGGGCUUAACCCAGAGCCUGCACUCGAAACUGCUGUGACUAGAGUUCGGUAGGGGAGCAGGGAAUUCCUAGUGUAGCGGUGAAAUGCGCAGAUAUUAGGAGGAACACCAAUGGCGAAGGCACUGCUCUGGGCCGAUACUGACGCUGAGGAGCGAGAGCGUGGGUAGCAAACAGGAUUAGAUACCCUGGUAGUCCACGCCGUAAACGAUGGGCACUAGGUGUGGGUCUCUAACCAACGAGAUCUGC